rnacentral:rRNA from 1 species
UACGUAGGUGGCAAGCGUUGUCCGGAUCUACUGGGCGUAAAGAGCGCGCAGGCGGUCGGUUAAGUCGCGUGUGAAAGCCCCCGGCUCAACUGGGGAGGGUCACGCGAUACUGAUCGACUCGAAGGCAGGAGAGGGAAGUGGAAUUCCCGGUGUAGUGGUGAAAUGCGUAGAUAUCGGGAGGAACACCAGUGGCGAAGGCGACUUCCUGGACUGGUCUUGACGCUGAGGCGCGAAAGCUAGGGGAGCAAACAGG